GACGAACGCUGGCGGCGUGCUUAACACAUGCAAGUCGAACGGAAAGGCCCUGCUUUUGUGGGGUGCUCGAGUGGCGAACGGGUGAGUAACACGUGAGUAACCUGCCCUUGACUUUGGGAUAACUUCAGGAAACUGGGGCUAAUACCGGAUAGGAGCUCCUGCUGCAUGGUGGGGGUUGGAAAGUUUCGGCGGUUGGGGAUGGACUCGCGGCUUAUCAGCUUGUUGGUGGGGUAGUGGCUUACCAAGGCUUUGACGGGUAGCCGGCCUGAGAGGGUGACCGGCCACAUUGAGACUGAGAUACGGCCCAGACUCCUACGGGAGGCAGAAGUGGGGAAUAUUGCACAAUGGGCGGAAGCCUGAUGCAGCAACGCCGCGUGCGGGAUGACGGCCUUCGGGUUGUAAACCGCUUUCGCCUGUGACGAAGCGUGAGUGACGGUAAUGAGUAAAGAAGCACCGGCUAACUACGUG
rnacentral:rRNA from 1 species